rnacentral:rRNA from 1 species
UGGGGGCACCCUGAUCAGCCAUGCCGCGUGUGUGAAGAAGGCCCUCGGGUUGUAAAGCACUUUCAGCGAGGAAGAACGCCUAAUGGUUAAUACCCGUUAGGAAAGACAUCACUCGCAGAAGAAGCACCGGCUAACUCCGUGCCAGCAGCCGCGGUAAUACGGAGGGUGCAAGCGUUAAUCGGAAUUACUGGGCGUAAAGCGCGCGUAGGCGGCUUAAUAAGCCGGUUGUGAAAGCCCCGGGCUCAACCUGGGAACGGCAUCCGGAACUGUUAAGCUAGAGUGCAGGAGAGGAAGGUAGAAUUCCCGGUGUAGCGGUGAAAUGCGUAGAGAUCGGGAGGAAUACCAGUGGCGAAGGCGGCCUUCUGGACUGACACUGACGCUGAGGUGCGAAAGCGUGGGUAGCAAACAGGAUUAGAUACCCUGGUAGUCCACGCCGUAAACGAUGUCGACCAGCCGUUGGGUGCCUUGAGCACUUUGUGGCGAAGUUAACGCGAUAAGUCGACCGCCUGGGGAGUACGGCCGCAAGGUUAAAACUCAAAUGAAUUGACGGGGGCCCGCACAAGCGGUGGAGCAUGUGGUUUAAUUCGAUGCAACGCGAAGAACCUUACCUACCCUUGACAUCCUGCGAACCCGGAAGAGAUUCCGGGGUGCCUUCGGGAGCGCAGAGACAGGUGCUGCAUGGCUGUCGUCAGCUCGUGUUGUGAAAUGGUUGGGGUAAGUCCCGUAACGAGCCGCAACCCUUGGUCCUUAUUUGCCAGCGCGUAAUGGCGGGAACUCUAAAGAGAACUGCCCGUGACAAACCGGAGGAAAGUGGGGGACGACGUCAAGUCAUCAUGGCCCUUA